CCGAGUUUACAACUCCCAAACCCCUGUGAACUUAUACCUCUACUGUUGCUUCGGCGGGUUAUUGCCCCGGGGAAACAGGCGGCCGUCAGGUCCCUGCCCACCCGGAAACAGGCGCCUGCCGGGGGAAUCAAACUCUUCUGUAUUUUUUACUUUUACUGUUAUACUGUCUGAGUACAAAACUAUAAAUGAAUCA
rnacentral:misc_RNA from 1 species